AUUGAACGCUAGCGGGAUGCUUUACACAUGCAAGUCGAACGGAGUGGCGAACGGGUGAGUAAUGUAUCGGAACGUGCCCCGUAGCGGGGGAUAACUACGCGAAAGCGUAGCUAAUACCGCAUACUAUUGGCGCGGCCGAUAUCGGAUUAGGUAGUUGGGGAGGGAACGGCUCACCAAGGCGACGAUACGUAGCUGGUUUGAGAGGACGAACAGCCACACUGGGACUGAGACACGGCCCAGACUCCUACGGGAGGAAGCAGGGGGGAAUUGUGGACAAUGGGGGCAACCCUGAUCCAGCCAUCCCGCGUGUGCGAUGAAGGCCUUCGGGUUGUAAAGCACUUUUGGCAGGAAAGCGGUACCUGCAGAAUAAGCACCGGCUAACUACGUGCCAGCCGCCGCGGUAAUUC
rnacentral:rRNA from 1 species